GCCGCGCCUAGCUCGACGGGGCGAAAGCAGGGUUCCCUUACCCUGUUGGCGCGGCUCUUUCCAAGGG
rnacentral:sRNA from 19 species